rnacentral:rRNA from 1 species
GCGUGAGUAACCUGCCUUUCAGAGGGGGAUAACCGUUCUGAAAAGAACGCUAAUACCGCAUGAGACUACAGAGCUGCAUGGCUCAGUGGUCAAAGGAGCAAUCCGCUGAAAGAUGGACUCGCGUCCGAUUAGCUAGUUGGUGAGGUAAUGGCCCACCAAGGCGACGAUCGGUAGCCGGACUGAGAGGUUGAACGGCCACAUUGGGACUGAGACACGGCCCAGACUCCUACGGGAGGCAGCAUG